rnacentral:tRNA from 1 species
UCUCUGGUGGCUUAGACAGUAAAGAGUCUGCCUGCAGUGUGGGAGACCCAGGUUCGACCCCUGGGCCGGGGAA